rnacentral:lncRNA from 1 species
UAGAGAGGCAGUAGGCCUUGCUGAGCUGCAGUGGGCUCCACCCAGUUCAAGCUUCCCAGGCUCUUUGUUUACGCUGUGAGCACCAAACCGCCUAUUCAAGCCUCAGCAAUGGCAGACACCCCCUCCCCACGCCAAGCUGCAGUGUCGCAGGUUGAUCACAGACUGCUGCGCUAACAGUGAACAAGGCUCCGUGGGAGUGGGACCUGGCGAGCCAGGCAUGGAAGGGAAUUUCCUGGUCUGCCAGUUGUGAAGACCAUGGGAAAAGCACAGUAUUUGAGCAGGAGUGUACCAAUUCUCCAGGUAUAGACUGUCACAGCUUCCCUUGACUAGGAACGGGAAAUCCCUGGCCUCUUGUGCUUCCUGGGUGAGGCGACACCCUGCCCUGCUUCAGCUCACCCUCCGUGGGCUGCACCCACCAUCCAACCAGUCCCAAUGAGAUGAACCACGUACUUCAGUUGGAAAUGCAGAAAUCACCCGUCUUCUGUGUCAAUCUUGCUGGGAGCUGCAGACCAGAUCUGUUCCUAUUUAGCCAUCUUGGAAGAAUCUUGGAAUAUCUUUUUUUUUUUUUCAUUUUACUUUAAGUUCUGGGAUACAUGUGCUGAACAUGCAGCUUUGUUACACAGGUAUACAGGUGCCAUGGUGUUUUCCUGCACCUAUCAACCCGUCACAUAAGUUUUAAGCUCCACAUGCAUCAGGAGGUCACAAAAUGUUAUACAGUAAAGUAAUUGGAGCACCACCUGGUGGGCAUUCUGGCUACAUUCCUGACUUGAAGGGAACAAAAUGUGGUUUUUUGAGACCAAGGAGGAAUAUGACUAGGAAGACAUGUCUCCUCCCUUCCGCUGGAGACUGAAGUAACAACUACGUAACUCAUAGAACCUUCCAACCACCUAAUACUUUAGGAAUGUGCUUGGAGCUCUUCUAAAUCCAUCUCACUUGAACUGCAAAGCCAGAAACAACAGCCAUUAUUCCUCUGAAGCCUGCAAAAUGCUGAGUAGAUUAAAAGGAUUAUGUUUCUGUUCUCAUAUGCUCAAUGCCCAUAGCUCAACAACCUUACUUUUACAAGAACCCAGCAACAAUGAUUUCAUUUUGAAUGAAUCCACGAUCUUCUCUGCAACAUAGUUAAAUGUAACCAGGCCAGGACGGUGGCUCACCCUUGUAAUCCCAGCACUUUGGGAGGCCAAGGCGGGAGGGUCAUUUGAGGCCAGGUUUUCGAGACCAGCAUGUGCCACCAUGCCUAGCUAAUUUUAAAAUUUUUUUGUAGAGAUGGGGUGUCGCAAUGUUGCCCAGGCUGGUCUUUAACUCCUGGCCUCAAGUGAUCCUCCCGCCUCCGCCUCCCAAAGUGCUGGAAUUACAAGUGUGAGCCACCGUGCAUGUCAACCAUUCUUAUUUAUUCUGCUUUUUAUUUUCCUGGCUUCUCUUCAGCACUCUCAACCAUUCUUUAUAGCAAUGCUCCCCAAAUUUUUUCAUGUGGUAUUGCUCGUAGAAAGUGAUAAUAUUAGUACAGUGCUGGACUAAAUGGAUGAGGUUGCUCAAAGGUUUUAUGCAGCCUCUCAAAGAGAUGCCACUGGGAUUGAGCUCACUUGCCCAAGACAGUAACCCGCUUCUCAAUGUAUCCUUUAAUGGUGUUCCUCUUUUGCCAGUCUUACUUGCCCACUCCCUGAUCAUGCCUCCUGGGAUCACCUCCCAAGUAAACUACUUUCACCCAAAUUCUUGUCCCAUCACAGUAGAUAAUGAAUACCAAAAAAAUGGCAAAAUGACAAUAAAACUAAUAUCCAAGCAAAGUGGACCUUUGUGCAUCAAGCUUUGCUCUAAAACAUGUAUCAACCUAUUAGGUAAAGCAAUGCAUUGAUUAAUUAAUGAAGGUAAUUACUUAAAUUCUGUGCUUCACUUUGCAUGUGGAGGCACUGCAUGCAUUUUAAGAACAUUUUUAGACUUAUAUCAAGACAUUUGUCUUUCAUACCUAAAGAACUAAGCUACAAAAGGUUUAAUGACUUCCCACGUCACAUCUUUAACAGUAAAAGUCAAAAUAGUUAAAAUUCAUUGAGCAUUCACUAUAUGCUGGAUUCUGUGUGAAGUACUUUUCAUCAUUCCACUAAUCAU